rnacentral:rRNA from 2 species
GGUUAAGCGACUAAGCGUACACGGUGGAUGCCCUGGCAGUCAGAGGCGAUGAAGGACGUGCUAAUCUGCGAUAAGCGUCGGUAAGGUGAUAUGAACCGUUAUAACCGGCGAUUUCCGAAUGGGGAAACCCAGUGUGAUUCGUCACACUAUCAUUAACUGAAUCCAUAGGUUAAUGAGGCGAACCGGGGGAACUGAAACAUCUAAGUACCCCGAGGAAAAGAAAUCAACCGAGAUUCCCCCAGUAGCGGCGAGCGAACGGGGAGGAGCCCAGAGCCUGAAUCAGUGUGUGUGUUAGUGGAAGCGUCUGGAAAGGCGCGCGAUACAGGGUGACAGCCCCGUACACAAAAAUGCACAUACUGUGAGCUCGAUGAGUAGGGCGGGACACGUGGUAUCCUGUCUGAAUAUGGGGGGACCAUCCUCCAAGGCUAAAUACUCCUGACUGACCGAUAGUGAACCAGUACCGUGAGGGAAAGGCGAAAAGAACCCCGGCGAGGGGAGUGAAAAAGAACCUGAAACCGUGUACGUACAAGCAGUGGGAGCCUCUUUAUGGGGUGACUGCGUACCUUUUGUAUAAUGGGUCAGCGACUUAUAUUCUGUAGCAAGGUUAACCGAAUAGGGGAGCCGAAGGGAAACCGAGUCUUAACUGGGCGUUAAGUUGCAGGGUAUAGACCCGAAACCCGGUGAUCUAGCCAUGGGCAGGUUGAAGGUUGGGUAACACUAACUGGAGGACCGAACCGACUAAUGUUGAAAAAUUAGCGGAUGACUUGUGGCUGGGGGUGAAAGGCCAAUCAAACCGGGAGAUAGCUGGUUCUCCCCGAAAGCUAUUUAGGUAGCGCCUCGUGAAUUCAUCUCCGGGGGUAGAGCACUGUUUCGGCAAGGGGGUCAUCCCGACUUACCAACCCGAUGCAAACUGCGAAUACCGGAGAAUGUUAUCACGGGAGACACACGGCGGGUGCUAACGUCCGUCGUGAAGAGGGAAACAACCCAGACCGCCAGCUAAGGUCCCAAAGUCAUGGUUAAGUGGGAAACGAUGUGGGAAGGCCCAGACAGCCAGGAUGUUGGCUUAGAAGCAGCCAUCAUUUAAAGAAAGCGUAAUAGCUCACUGGUCGAGUCGGCCUGCGCGGAAGAUGUAACGGGGCUAAACCAUGCACCGAAGCUGCGGCAGCGACACUAAGUGUUGUUGGGUAGGGGAGCGUUCUGUAAGCCUGUGAAGGUGUGCUGUGAGGCAUGCUGGAGGUAUCAGAAGUGCGAAUGCUGACAUAAGUAACGAUAAAGCGGGUGAAAAGCCCGCUCGCCGGAAGACCAAGGGUUCCUGUCCAACGUUAAUCGGGGCAGGGUGAGUCGACCCCUAAGGCGAGGCCGAAAGGCGUAGUCGAUGGGAAACAGGUUAAUAUUCCUGUACUUGGUGUUACUGCGAAGGGGGGACGGAGAAGGCUAUGUUGGCCGGGCGACGGUUGUCCCGGUUUAAGCGUGUAGGCUGGUUUUCCAGGCAAAUCCGGAAAAUCAAGGCUGAGGCGUGAUGACGAGGCACUACGGUGCUGAAGCGACAAAUGCCCUGCUUCCAGGAAAAGCCUCUAAGCAUCAGGUAACAUCAAAUCGUACCCCAAACCGACACAGGUGGUCAGGUAGAGAAUACCAAGGCGCUUGAGAGAACUCGGGUGAAGGAACUAGGCAAAAUGGUGCCGUAACUUCGGGAGAAGGCACGCUGAUAUGUAGGUGAAGCGACUUGCUCGUGGAGCUGAAAUCAGUCGAAGAUACCAGCUGGCUGCAACUGUUUAUUAAAAACACAGCACUGUGCAAACACGAAAGUGGACGUAUACGGUGUGACGCCUGCCCGGUGCCGGAAGGUUAAUUGAUGGGGUUAGCGGUAACGCGAAGCUCUUGAUCGAAGCCCCGGUAAACGGCGGCCGUAACUAUAACGGUCCUAAGGUAGCGAAAUUCCUUGUCGGGUAAGUUCCGACCUGCACGAAUGGCGUAAUGAUGGCCAGGCUGUCUCCACCCGAGACUCAGUGAAAUUGAACUCGCUGUGAAGAUGCAGUGUACCCGCGGCAAGACGGAAAGACCCCGUGAACCUUUACUAUAGCUUGACACUGAACAUUGAGCCUUGAUGUGUAGGAUAGGUGGGAGGCUUUGAAGUGUGGACGCCAGUCUGCAUGGAGCCGACCUUGAAAUACCACCCUUUAAUGUUUGAUGUUCUAACGUUGGCCCCUUAUCGGGGUUGCGGACAGUGUCUGGUGGGUAGUUUGACUGGGGCGGUCUCCUCCUAAAGAGUAACGGAGGAGCACGAAGGUUGGCUAAUCCUGGUCGGACAUCAGGAGGUUAGUGCAAUGGCAUAAGCCAGCUUGACUGCGAGCGUGACGGCGCGAGCAGGUGCGAAAGCAGGUCAUAGUGAUCCGGUGGUUCUGAAUGGAAGGGCCAUCGCUCAACGGAUAAAAGGUACUCCGGGGAUAACAGGCUGAUACCGCCCAAGAGUUCAUAUCGACGGCGGUGUUUGGCACCUCGAUGUCGGCUCAUCACAUCCUGGGGCUGAAGUAGGUCCCAAGGGUAUGGCUGUUCGCCAUUUAAAGUGGUACGCGAGCUGGGUUUAGAACGUCGUGAGACAGUUCGGUCCCUAUCUGCCGUGGGCGCUGGAGAACUGAGGGGGGCUGCUCCUAGUACGAGAGGACCGGAGUGGACGCAUCACUGGUGUUCGGGUUGUCAUGCCAAUGGCACUGCCCGGUAGCUAAAUGCGGAAGAGAUAAGUGCUGAAAGCAUCUAAGCACGAAACUUGCCCCGAGAUGAGUUCUCCCUGACCCUUUAAGGGUCCUGAAGGAACGUUGAAGACGACGACGUUGAUAGGCCGGGUGUGUAAGCGCAGCGAUGCGUUGAGCUAACCGGUACUAAUGAACCGUGAGGCUUAACCUU